rnacentral:rRNA from 1 species
AUUGAACGCUGGCGGCAUGCCUUACACAUGCAAGUCGAACGGCAGCACGGGAGCAAUCCUGGUGGCGAGUGGCGAACGGGUGAGUAAUAUAUCGGAACGUGCUCAGUCGUGGGGGAUAACGUAGCGAAAGCUACGCUAAUACCGCAUACGAUCUAUGGAUGAAAGCGGGGGAUCGCAAGACCUCGCGCGAUUGGAGCGGCCGAUAUCAGAUUAGGUAGUUGGUGAGGUAAAGGCUCACCAAGCCGACGAUCUGUAGCUGGUCUGAGAGGACGACCAGCCACACUGGGACUGAGACACGGCCCAGACUCCUACGGAGGCAGCAGUGGGGAAUUUUGGACGAUGGGCGCAAGCCUGAUCCAGCAAUGCCGCGUGCAGGAUGAAGGCCUUCGGGUUGGUUAAACGUUAG